rnacentral:rRNA from 1 species
UACGGAGGGUGCGAUCGUUACCCGGAUUUACUGGGUGUAAAGGGCGUGUAGGCGGUCUCUCAAGUCCGAUGCUAAAGACCGAAGCUCAACUUCGGGGGUGCGUUGGAUACUGUGAGGCUAGACGGUCGGAGAGGGUAGCGGAAUUUCCGGAGUAGCGGUGAAAUGCGCAGAUACCGGAAGGAACGCCAAUAGCGAAUGCAGCUACCUGGACGAUUGGUGACGCUGAGGCGCGAAAGCGUGGGGAGAAAACCGG